AUGCAAGUCGAGCGGUCGUAGCAAUACGGCAGCGGCAGACGGGAGAGUAACACGUGGGAACGUACCCUUCGGUUCGGAACAACCCAGGGAAACUUGGGCUAAUACCGGAUACGUCCGCAAGGAGAAAGAUUUAUCGCCGGAGGAUCGGCCCGCGUCUGAUUAGCUUGUUGGUGGGGUAAUGGCUCACCAAGGCGACGAUCAGUAGCUGGUCUGAGAGGAUGAUCAGCCUCACUGGGACUGAGACACGGCCCAGACUCCUACGGGAGGCAGCAGUGGGGAAUAUUGGACAAUGGGCGCAAGCCUGAUCCAGCCAUGCCGCGUGGGUGAUGAGGGCCCUAGGGUUGUAAAGCCCUUUCGGCGGGGAAGAUAAUGACGGUACCCGCAGAAGAAGCCCCGGCCAACUUCGUGCCAGCAGCCGCGGUAAUACGAAGGGGGCUAGCGUUGCUCGGAAUCACUGGGCGUAAAGCGCACGUAGGCGGCUUCUUAAGUCAGGGGUGAAAUCCUGGAGCUCAACUCCA
rnacentral:rRNA from 1 species